rnacentral:rRNA from 1 species
GACGAACGCUGGCGGCGUGCUUAACACAUGCAAGUCGAACGGUGAAAGCGGAGCUUGCUCCGCUGGAUCAGUGGCGAACGGGUGAGUAACACGUGGGCAACCUGCCCCUCACUUCGGGAUAACUCCGGGAAACCGGGGCUAAUACCGGAUAUGACCUCCUUGGGCAUCCUUGGAGGUGGAAAGUUUUUCGGUGAGGGAUGGGCCCGCGGCCUAUCAGCUUGUUGGUGAGGUAGUGGCUCACCAAGGCGACGACGAGUAGCCGGCCUGAGAGGGCGACCGGCCGCACUGGGACUGAGACACGGCCCAGACUCCUACGGGAGGCAGCAGUGGGGAAUAUUGCGCAAUGGGCGAAAGCCUGACGCAGCAACGCCGCGUGCGGGAUGACGGCCUUCGGGUUGUAAACCGCUUUCAGCAGGGAAGAAGCCGCAAGGUGACGGUACCUGCAGAAGAAGCACCGGCUAACUACGUGCCAGCAGCCGCCGUAA